CUGGCUAGCAGCUGCCCAAGACAACACUCCCUCUUCUCAAGACUUUUCCUGGGGCCUCCCUUUCAUUACACGUGACUGGUUGAGCUCCUCACUGCCUGCCAUCUUGGUCACAAAUCCAGCCUGGACUUUGCCCCUGAACUCGACUCAUCUAUCUAACUGCCUCUUAGAUAGACAUGAGCAACCAACCGCAUUUCAUCCAUCAG
rnacentral:lncRNA from 1 species